rfam:Populus trichocarpa scaffold_14_contig_134, whole genome shotgun sequence.
UAGUCUGUCUACGUUAAAUCCCCAUCUAGUAAUGUAAGAUCCUCACUUGAAUGCUUAAAACCGCUCAUGUCUACAAGUUAUGCUAAAUCACUGGUUACAUCAGAAUUCUUAUGGUUUAGAGAUUAUUUAUAU